rnacentral:rRNA from 1 species
GACGAACGCUGGCGGCGUGCCUAAUACAUGCAAGUUGAGCGCUGAAGGUUGGUACUUGUACCAACUGGGUGAGCAGCGAACGGGUGAGUAACGCGUGGGGAAUCUGCCUUUGAGCGGGGGACAACAUUUGGAAACGAAUGCUAAUACCGCAUAAAAACUUUAAACACAAGGUUUAAGUUUGAAAGAUGCACUUGCAUCCCUCAAAGAUGAUACCGCGUUGUAUUAGCUAGUUGGUGAAGUAAAGGCUCACCAAGGCGAUGAUACAUAGCCGGACUGAGAGGGGGAUCGGCCACAUCGGGACUGGGACAAGGCCCAAGACUCCACGGGAAGGAGCAGUAGGGAAUCCUCGGGCAAGGAGGAAAGUCUGACCGGGGAAAGCCGGCGGGGGUGAGGAGGGUCUCCGAUCGUAAAACUCUGGUUGUAGGGAAGAACGAUAGGGAGAGUGGAAAGCUCACAAAGUGACGGUAACUAAUCAGAAAGGGACGGCUAACUACGUG